CGGAUUGAAGGCUGAAGUUCGCCUUCAUGAAGCUGGAAUUGCUAGUAAUGGCAGGUCAGCAUACUGCCGUGAAUACGUUCCCGGGCCUUGUACACACCGCCCGUCACACCAUGAGAGUUGGAAAUACCCGAAGCCUGUGAGCUAACUUAAAGAGGCAGCAGUCGAAGGUAGAGCCAAUGAUUGGGGUGAAGUCGUAACAAGGUAGC
rnacentral:rRNA from 1 species